rnacentral:misc_RNA from 1 species
ACAUGGCCGAGCAGGGCGUGCCGUCGCUGUUUCCCACCGACGAGCUGUCGAUCAUCGGUCUGGCGGCGAUUCCGAAACGAUUGCCGAUGAUCCUGCGCAGGAUUCGCGAGACGACCGACGCUGUUCUGAUGGCGCGGCCUGACGUUCUGGUCAUCAUCGACAGCCCGGAUUUCACGCAUCGGGUGGCGCGGCGUGUCCGCG